GGGGGCACCCUGACCGAGCAACGCCGCGUGAGUGAAGAAGGUUUUCGGAUCGUAAAGCUCUGUUGUAAGUCAAGAACGAGUGUGAGAGUGGAAAGUUCACACUGUGACGGUAGCUUACCAGAAAGGGACGGCUAACUACGUGCCAGCAGCCGCGGUAAUACGUAGGUCCCGAGCGUUGUCCGGAUUUAUUGGGCGUAAAGCGAGCGCAGGCGGUUUGAUAAGUCUGAAGUUAAAGGCUGUGGCUCAACCAUAGUUCGCUUUGGAAACUGUCAAACUUGAGUGCAGAAGGGGAGAGUGGAAUUCCAUGUGUAGCGGUGAAAUGCGUAGAUAUAUGGAGGAACACCGGUGGCGAAAGCGGCUCUCUGGUCUGUAACUGACGCUGAGGCUCGAAAGCGUGGGGAGCGAACAGGAUUAGAUACCCUGGUAGUGCACGCCGUAAACGAUGAGUGCUAGGUGUUGGAUCCUUUCCGGGAUUCAGUGCCGCAGCUAACGCAUUAAGCACUCCGCCUGGGGAGUACGACCGCAAGGUUGAAACUCAAAGGAAUUGACGGGGGCCCGCACAAGCGGUGGAGCAUGUGGUUUAAUUCGAAGCAACGCGAAGAACCUUACCAGGUCUUGACAUCCCGAUGCUAUUCCUAGAGAUAGAAAGUUACUUCGGUACAUCCGUGUCAGGUGGUGCAUGGUUGUCGUCAGCUCGUGUC
rnacentral:rRNA from 1 species